UUUUUUUUUUUUUUUUUUCAUUAACACAGAUUUGCACUUUAUUGUAAUUUUGCAUCCUGAGAUAAUAAAAUUUAAUAUCUGACAAGUGAACAACGACAGAAGCAGCAGUGAUUGUUUCAGAGAGGCAGGUAUCCUUCAUUUUGGCACAGCUGUAUAUAGGUUGAGUUCUUCCAGGGAGUCGCUCCCAAAAUCAAGGGAGAAAAAUGARUUCAUUCCACAGGCUAUACAAUACAAGAUGCAUUGAAAGUUCUUGGSUUAARUGGACAUAUUCACUUUUAUCCUUCUGGUAAACUGUCCCAGCAGGAAUCCUCUGUCAAAAAGGGCAGAGAUCCUAGGCUUUUCAAAUAGCUGUUUUGAUCAAUGCCCACCUUCUCACUAGCAGGAUUUUCUAUUUUUGCAGCUGAGACUCAUAUAUUUGUACAUGGUUAGUCUAAGGAUGGCAAACUAACUUGUAGAUUAUAUAAUUUCAAACAUUUGGUAACGUGCUUAAAAGUCCAAGCAUUAAAAGAAUUUUAUACUUUUUGCUUACUAUAAAAAUGAAAAAUUUAAAAAAUUAAGCA
rnacentral:sRNA from 1 species